rnacentral:rRNA from 1 species
AGAGUUUGAUCAUGGCUCAGAAUCAACGCUGGCGGCGUGCCUCAGACAUGCAAGUCGAACGAUUAGAGCUCUCUUCGGAGAGUGUAUAGAGUGGCGCACGGGUGAGUAACACGUAAGUAAUCUACCCUCGAGUGGGGAAUAACGUCCGGAAACGGACGCUAAUACCGCAUAAUGCAGCGGCACCGCAAGGUGACAGUUGUUAAAGAUUUAUCGCUUGAGGAGGAGCUUGCGGCAGAUUAGCUAGUUGGUAAGGUAAUGGCUUACCAAGGCUACGAUCUGUAACCGGUCUUAGAGGACGGUCGGUCACACUGACACUGAAUAACGGGUCAGACUCCUACGGGAGGCAGCAGUCGGGAAUUUUGGGCAAUGGGCGAAAGCCUGACCCAGCAACGCCGCGUGAAGGAUGAAGUAUUUCGGUAUGUAAACUUCGAAAGAAUAGGAAGAAUAAAUGACGGUACUAUUUAUAAGGUCCGGCUAACUACGUGCCAGCAGCCGCGGUAAUACGUAGGGACCAAGCGUUGUUCGGAUUUACUGGGCGUAAAGGGCGCGUAGGCGGCUUGCCAAGUCACUUGUGAAAUCUCUGGGCUUAACCCAGAACGGCCAAGUGAAACUGGCAUGCUAGAGUGCAGAAGGGGCAAUCGGAAUUCUUGGUGUAGCGGUGAAAUGCGUAGAUAUCAAGAGGAACACCUGAGGUGAAGACGGGUUGCUGGGCUGACACUGACGCUGAGGCGCGAAAGCCAGGGGAGCAAACGGGAUUAGAUACCCUAGUAGUCC